rnacentral:misc_RNA from 1 species
UCAGAUCCACAAACAGGCGAAUGAUUUGUUAAUAUCUAUAUAUAUAUAUAUAUAUAUAUAUAUAUAUAUACAUAAACACUCGUAGAACUGGAAUUCUCUAUGCGGGAAACCUAUGUAAAGAAAUGCAGUUGUAUACCAAAUAAUAUUUGUUCGUGUGUCGUAGGAGUCAACAACUGACAAAAGGAUUUACAAGUCUCUUUUAUUGGUAUGUGUACCAUACUGACGCCUUGCUGAUAUUUGUUACGUAUUACCAUGGAGAAAAACUUCACCUUCUAGCGGACAUGUUGAUUUUCUGCGGUACUAACAUCCUGUUCUGUAUUUCGUGCGGCACUGAGAAGUAACCAAGUUGUGAGCCACGAGUGAAAAGUAAUGUUUUGUGUUCAAAGAAUAGUCGGCCUUCGAUGCAUUGUUUGUUGGCGAUAUAUAUAUAUAUACCAAGGAUAGGUGUGUAGCAUGUUUAGAACUGUUGAUAUUCUUAACUAAGUAUCACAAGUGUUUCUUACGUUGUGGAUUCGUUUGGAAUACUCAGCAGCAAAAUGACAGAAAUGUUAUUUCGAAAGGUAGUGCAGUGUAUUGCUUGUUCACUUGACAAAUAUUACUGAAUGGUAUGUGUCCUUUUAUGGGCUAUUAACACUCUGAAAUCUUCUUGUGUGGUCGUGUCGAAUAACCAACAGCCACAUUCUGUUUAUCACCGCUGUACUAACUAGUUACAUUAAACAAAUCGUAACUUUAUACAAGACUGAGUCCUAAAAAUAGUUUUAAACCUGUAAUAACUUGCUAGCACAUUGUGCAUUAACAAAAACCGGAACUUUAUACUUGACUGAUUCGUAAAGAAGAUUUGUCAACCUGUAAUAACCUGCAAGGACAUUAUGCAUUCAAAUAAAUCGACACUUUGUACAAGACUGAGUCAUAAAGAAGAUGUUUCAACAUAUAGUAACUUGCUAGUCUAACCCUGACCAUGCCGGAACACAGAAAGCCUCAAGGAGGACCGAGGUGGGGACGUCAUUAUAUUUCCAGCAGGCUGGUAAACAACACGAUUAUUACUGAGGUCAGGGCGCAGACUUCAUGGAAUAGUCUUUUCCUAGCCGUCAUCGCCAUUUUGCUUUUAGGCGGUGGCAUAGCUUUAAUUGUUAUAUUCGGAACAAAAGAAGAGAAAGUCCAAGAUCUGAUAUUAAUCGGGGCCAUACUGUUGGCAACUGCUAUUUUAUUUGUCAUUAUGUUUAGUGUCAGCAUAAUAAGAAUGGUGAUUAGAUAUCGAAAUGCAAACCGGAGGGUUAAACCUUGUUCGGAACAAGAGUUUGUGUAUGUUAUGAAAAAUGUCCCAGCUGAAAAGAGGAAUAUGGAAGAUAGUCCAGCCACGGACUCUGCGAUUGGCCGAGAUCGGAAUCUCCCAAUCUCUUCCGAGGAUAUAGAACGGCAGAGACGACCAAGUGCCGAUUCACUUUACGGUAGGGAGAGAAUAAGGGAUGUGGGGAAGUCGGUUACGUCCCCUCCUCCACAGGUGGCGCUGCCUAUUGACAGUGGUGUCAUGGAAGCUACACUUGCAACCAGUACCGCGCAUUCCGAGAGAGAUACGGCAUCACAAGAAGAUAACGUGAACAGAGAUAUACGUGAUGCUGUGAAUAAGGAAAUGGUUGUUCCAUCAUCCAACUCGAACGUUCCUAGUUCAUCAAUCAACAGACGAGAUGGUGUUGAGACUACAGACCGGCAUGGCGUAGGUACAGACAGGACAGACGGAGAAACAGAUGACACGGCACGGUUGUUGGCGAGUCUUUACGUGGAUACAUUAGAUAGCAAGGAUACAUCUACAGCAGAUUCUAAACGUGGCUCAGGGAUGAUACAGAAAAGCAAGGUCAAAAUACUGGUAAAUGAACGCGAGGUGGAGGAUGAUGACACUGACGUCGAUUCGGUUGCAAGUUUGCGUAGCGGUGAAGCGGGUGACGCCACCACAGCAGCCGUGUUGAAUACCCUUUAUUCUGAUGUUGAGAAUGAUGAUGGCGCCAUUUCGGAAGAUUCUAAAGAUCCUUUGAGUGAACUUAGCUCAAGGAUUUUACGAAGCAGUAACCCUGACUUAUCAGGAAUUGAGAGUGGUUCUGUUGGCGGAGAUUCGGGUAAAAGCAUUCACAGUGAUGCCAUGAGUAACACUGGAACAGAAGAGGCGCUUAUUGGCCUUUAUUCUGAUGCACGGAAUAAAGACUAUCCCACCGCAACACGUUCUAUGAGUCCUCUGGAAGAACUUGGCUCAAAGAUUUUACAGUCCGAAAACGCUGGGAUAAAAGGGAAUGAGCAACAGUCUGAGGAAGGUUCAGUAGAGGAUGAUCCGGUUACAAGCACAGGUCAUAACAAUAGUACUACAGCGACUCUGUUGGGUAAUCUGGGCUCUGAUGUAGAGAAUAACGGCGAUGCAAUUACAACAGAUUCUAAAGACCCUUUGGGUGAAAUUAGUUCAAAGAUUUUAUAGGAUAGUACUGCGGGUGUUAUAAGACACAAAGAACAAGAUAGUGUUGUGGAUGGUGAUUCAGCGAGAAGUAGUUCUGGCAGAGAGGCAAGCCACGCUACAGCAGAAGAUGGCUUGUCUAACCUCUAUUCUGAUGUCAUAGAAUCUGAAAACAGUCUCGGUGAACAUAAAUCAUAAUGUUUUACACCAAAAUUUACUCUGAGACGGAAGACCUAGAACAUGGAGUUUAGGAGCAGGAUAGCUCGAGUGUUCUUUACCCUGAACUGGAACAAUAGGGCUGGAGGAUAUUCGAGUAGGAGCAGGAUUCGAGUAGGAGCAGGAUUGCUCGAAUGUACUUUAUCCUGGCUGGUACAACAGGGCUGGAGUAUAUUCGAGUAGGAGCAGGAUUGCUCAAGUGUCCUUUAUCCUGGCCUGGUACAACAGGGUUGGAGGAUAUUCGAGUAGGAACAGGAUAGAGAUGUCGAUGAUUAUUUGAAAUAUACUCCAGGAUACGUCACAAACCAAAUACUCUGGUGGCACUAUGUGGAUGUACUCAUUCCUGACGUCAUUAAGCACCCGGAUGUUGCAUACCUGUUUGCAGAUGAGGGAUCGAAUAAAGAUCCACCUGGCACUGAAGGACCCUUUGUUUUCUCUGUU